AGCGAACGCUGGCGGCGUGCUUAACACAUGCAAGUCGAACGUGAACGGGGCAACCCUAGUAAAGUGGCGUACGGGUGAGUAACACGUAGGUAAUCUGCCUUAGAGUUCGGAAUAACCUGCCGAAAGGCGGGCUAAUACUUGAUAGAGCGACGGAAUCCGUAAAUGGGUUUUUCGGGAAAGGGAGCUUGAUAAGAGCCCUC
rnacentral:rRNA from 1 species